AGCAUGGUGUCUGUUGCAGGUGGCCGGACUGUGCCAUGCUGCUCCAGACCCAAGGUGGCAGCUCUCACUGCGGGGACCCUGCUACUUCUGACAGCCAUCGGGGCGGCAUCCUGGGCCAUUGUGGCUGUUCUCCUCAGGAGUGACCAGGAGCCGCUGUACCCAGAUGUGCAAAAUGAGGACCAGAGAGGACAUGCAGCUGGGGAACGAGGGGCCAGGAACAGCUCUUAGACUUAUCCACUUGCAGGUCAGCUCUGCGGACGCUCGGCUCAUGGUCUUUGACAAGACGGAAGGGACGUGGCGGCUGCUGUGCUCCUCGCGCUCCAACGCCAGGGUAGCCGGACUCAGCUGCGAGGAGAUGGGCUUCCUCAGGUACUGGGGGCCCUCGGAGGGGUGGGAGCCGGGAGGGGCUGGGGAGCAGGCCUAACCCCUGCCCCGCCCAGGGCACUGACCCACUCCGAGCUGGACGUGCGAACGGCGGGCGCCAAUGGCACGUCGGGCUUCUUCUGCGUGGACGAGGGGAGGCUGCCCCACACCCAGAGGCUGCUGGAGGUCAUCUCCGUGUGUGAUUGCCCCAGAGGCCGUUUCUUGGCCGCCAUCUGCCAAGACUGUGGCCGCAGGAAGCUGCCCGUGGACCGCAUCGUGGGAGGCCGGGACACCAGCUUGGGCCGGUGGCCGUGGCAAGUCAGCCUUCGCUAUGAUGGAGCACACCUCUGUGGGGGAUCCCUGCUCUCCGGGGACUGGGUGCUGACAGCCGCCCACUGCUUCCCGGAGCGGAACCGGGUCCUGUCCCGAUGGCGAGUGUUUGCCGGUGCCGUGGCCCAGGCCUCUCCCCACGGCCUGCAGCUGGGGGUGCAGGCUGUGGUCUACCACGGGGGCUAUCUUCCCUUUCGGGACCCCAACAGCGAGGAGAACAGCAACGAUAUUGCCCUGGUCCACCUCUCCAGUCCCCUGCCCCUCACAGAAUACAUCCAGCCUGUGUGCCUCCCAGCUGCCGGCCAGGCCCUGGUGGAUGGCAAGAUCUGUACCGUGACGGGCUGGGGCAACACGCAGUACUAUGGCCAACAGGCCGGGGUACUCCAGGAGGCUCGAGUCCCCAUAAUCAGCAAUGAUGUCUGCAAUGGCGCUGACUUCUAUGGAAACCAGAUCAAGCCCAAGAUGUUCUGUGCUGGCUACCCCGAGGGUGGCAUUGAUGCCUGCCAGGGCGACAGCGGUGGUCCCUUUGUGUGUGAGGACAGCAUCUCUCGGACGCCACGUUGGCGGCUGUGUGGCAUUGUGAGUUGGGGCACUGGCUGUGCCCUGGCCCAGAAGCCAGGCGUCUACACCAAAGUCAGUGACUUCCGGGAGUGGAUCUUCCAGGCCAUAAAGGUGAAAGUUGGGUCCAGAUGGGAGCCAGGGUGGGGAUGGUUGGGUGUCUAAUGGGGGAAGGGAGGCAGAGAUUUGUUUUAGGAAACCUACGCUCAGGCCUAGAAGAGGGCCCCCCUUGGGAACAGAUGGACUUUGAAGGGUUCCUGGGGAAGGGAAGCCGGUGGUGGGACGUGGAAACCUCUCAGACCUCGGGAGCCCCCAGCUGUCUUUCCCCAGACUCACUCCGAAGCCAGCGGCAUGGUGACCCAGCUCUGACCGGUGGCUUCUCGCUGCGCAGCCUCCAGGGCCCGAGGUGAUCCCGGUGGUGGGAUCCACGCUGGGCCUAGGAUGGGACGUUUUUCUUCUUGGGCCCGGUCCACAGGUCCAAGGACACCCUCCCUCCAGGGUCCUCUCUUCCACAGUGGCGGGCCCACUCAGCCCCGAGACCACCCAACCUCACCCUCCUGACCCCCAUGUAAAUAUUGUUCUGCUGUCUGGGACUCCUGUCUAGGUGCCCCUGAUGACGGGAUGCUCUUUAAAUAAUAAA
rnacentral:sRNA from 1 species